rnacentral:rRNA from 1 species
UACGGAGGGUGCGAGCGUUGUCCGGAAUCAUUGGGCGUAAAGGGCGCGUAGGUGGCCCGGUCAGUCUUUGGUGAAAGCGGCGGGGCUCAACCCUGCGUCGGCCAGGGAUACUGCCGCGGCUCGAGCACUGUAGAGGCAGGCGGAAUUCCGGGUGUAGCGGUGGAAUGCGCAGAUAUCAGGAGGAACACCAAUUGCGAAGGCAGCUCGCUGGGACGUUACUGACGCUGGAGACGCGAAAGCGUGGGGAGCAAACAGG